GGAGCAGCCCAGGUGGCCGCUGGCCGGCUUCCAGCCGGCUGGAGGAAAGUCCGAACUCCAUAGGGCAGGAUGCUGGGUAACACCCAGUCACGGCGACGUGAAGGAAAGUGCCACAGAAAACAUACCGCCUCGUUCGCGGGGUAAGGGUGAAAAGGUGCGGUAAGAGCGCACCGCGGAGGGGGUGACUCCUCCGGCAGGGCAAACCCCAUCCGGAGCAAGACCAAAUAGAGGAGCGCUCGAGGGCGGCCCGUCCAAGCUCCCGGGUAGGUUGCACGAGGCGCCGGGCAACCGGCGUCCCAGAUGAAUGGCCACCACCUUCGGGGACAGAAUUCGGCUUAUCGGCUGCUCCGCCC
rnacentral:RNase_P_RNA from 1 species